rnacentral:rRNA from 1 species
GACGAACGCUGGCGGCGUGCCUAAUACAUGCAAGUAGAACGCUGAAGAGAGGAGCUUGCUCUUCUUGGAUGAGUUGCGAACGGGUGAGUAACGCGUAGGUAACCUGCCUUGUAGCGGGGGAUAACUAUUGGAAACGAUAGCUAAUACCGCAUAACAAUGGAUGACACAUGUCAUUUAUUUGGAAGGGGCAAUUGCUCCACUACAAGAUGGACCUGCGUUGUAUUAGCUAGUAGGUGAGGUAACGGCUCACCUAGGCGACGAUACAUAGCCGACCUGAGAGGGGGAUCGGCCACACUGGGACUGAGACACGGCCCAGACUCCUACGGGAGGCAGCAGGAGGGAAUCUUCGGCAAUGGGGGCAACCCUGACCGAGCAACGCCGCGUGAGUGAAGAAGGUUUUCGGAUCGUAAAGCUCUGUUGUAAGUCAAGAACGAGUGUGAGAGUGGAAAGUUCACACUGUGACGGUAGCUUACCAGAAAGGGACGGCUAACUACGUG